GUCUGGUCUCGCUCUGGCGUCAGAGCCGCCAUCGCUCGCUCCCUUCUCGGCGGCGGUACCUGCUCCAGGUGGCCCUGAGGACGUGCGGGCCAGGGGCGGCCCCGAAAGUAGGAAGCGGAGGGGAAGCAGGCCUAAGUGUCCGGCGGCGCACCUCGCGUCAAGAAUCGGGAGGAGGAAGAGAUCACGAGGAUAGGCACAGGAGUAAUGGAGUCUAAAGAGGAACUAGCGGCAAACAAUCUCGACGGGAAAAAUCCCCAACAAGAAAACGAAGGAGGGGAGCAGGUCCCCAAGUAGAAUGUAGAAGAAUCCCGCCAUUCGGGAGAGGGUGAAGGGCAGAAGCCUGGAGGAAAUAUCAGACGGGGGCGAGUUAGGCGACUUGUCCUUAAUUUUCCAUGGGCCAUACCUAACAGGCAUAGUGGGCACAAUGAAGCGAGAGAUGAUGUAGAAAGGUUUGUAGGGCAGAUGAUGGAAAUCAAGAGAAAGACUAGGGAACAGCAGAUAAGGCACUAUAUGCGCUUCCAAACUCCUGAACCUGACAACCAUUAUGACUUUUGCCUCAUACCUUGAAUCCUUAAGUUUUUCCUGAAGUUAAAAAUGUGAACACUGCUUUACAAGCUUGUAUUUUUGUGAUUUACUUUUUCUGUAAGCCUUUUGGUGUUUCCACUUACCAGUUUCUAAUGGAAAUUAGAAUUCUAAUUGAAUAUUGUUUUGUCUCAGCCUAAAAGUUACUGUUAGCAGGGCAGCUUCACUCAUUUUAGGAAAAAUAUUCUCUUCAUAAUAUGAAAUGCAUAAAGCAGUUCCAAAAGCAGUCUGUAUUCCAUCAUCUUCCUCUUUCAUUCCAGUUGCUAUUUUUUGUAAAUAUUAUUUUUCCUUUACCUGGACUCAAAAUCUCACUUGUCUUGAGAAUAUUUUCUUGUCUCUGACCAA